rnacentral:rRNA from 1 species
AGAGAGAGACAUGCGCGCAUAUCAAUAAGCGGAGGAAAAGAAACUAACUAGGAUUCCCUCAGUAACGGCGAGUGAAGCGGGAAGAGCUCAAAUUUGAAAUCUUAAAGGGUUCUACCUUGACGAAUUGUAGUUUAAAGAAGUGUUUUCUGUUGAGGUUUUGGUAAAAGUUCUUUGGAAUAUGGACAUCAUAGAGGGUGAGAAUCCCGUAUUUGACCAUUAUUUCCAGCUUUGUGAUACACUUUCAAAGAGUCGGAUUGUUUGGGAAUGCAGUCCAAAAUGGGUGGUAAAUUUCAUCUAAAGCUAAAUAUUGGCGAGAGACCGAUAGCGAACAAGUACCGUGAGGGAAAGGAUGAAAAGAACUUUGAAAAGAGAGUUAAACAGUACGUGAAAUUGUCAAAAGGGAAGCGUUUGACACCAGUGUUGUUUUCUCGAAAAUCAAUUAAAAAAGGCAGGAUUUUGUGUUGUAUUGACUUUAUCAGCUUUCUGCACUCUUUUCUUGUCUUUUUUAAUGCACUUUUCGUUUAACAAGUCAACAUCAAUUUCUUUUGUUGUAAAAGGGUCAUUGGAAGGUGGCUUUCUUUUCGGAGAAAGUGUUUAUAGCCUUUGGCCUCUGCAAUCGGAGAGAUUGAGGUCUGCAGCGUAGAUCCUUCGGGGUUAAAUGCAUUUGUGCUAAGUUAUAGCCUUUUCAUAGACAACUUGUUGACUAUGAUCAGUCAUGUAGCUUACUCGCUUAUGCUAUUUUACCUACGCUUAGGAUGUUGAUGUGAUACUGCGAGCA